rnacentral:rRNA from 1 species
CAGUAGCCACGGUAAUACAGAGGAUGCAAGCGUUAUCCGGAAUGAUUGGGCGUAAAGGGCGCGCAGGCGGCUGCGUAAGUCUGUCUAGAAAGUGCGGGGCUCAACCCCGUGAUGGGAAAGAAACCACAUGUCUUGAGUACAGGAGAGGAAAGCGGAAUUCCCAGUGUAGCGGUGAAAUGCGUUGAGAUCGGAAAGAACACCAACGGCGAAAGCACUCUGCUGGGCCGACACUGACACUGAGAGACGAAAGCUAGGGGAGCAAAUGGGAUUAGAUACCCCAGUAGUCCCUGUCUCUUAUACA